CGGCGGACGGGUGAGUAACGCGUGGGUAACCUGCCUCACACAGGGGGAUAACAGUUAGAAAUGGCUGCUAAUACCGCAUAAGACCACAGUACUGCAUGGUACAGUGGUAAAAACUCCGGUGGUAUGAGAUGGACCCGCGUCUGAUUAGGUAGUUGGUGAGGUAACGGCCCACCAAGCCGACGAUCAGUAGCCGACCUGAGAGGGUGACCGGCCACAUUGGGACUGAGACACGGCCCAGACUCCUACGGGAGGCAGCAUG
rnacentral:rRNA from 1 species